UACGAAGGGGGCUAGCGUUGUUCGGAAUUACUGGGCGUAAAGCGUGCGUAGGCGGUUCUCCAAGUCCGUUGUGAAAGCCCCGGGCUCAACCUGGGAAUGGCAGUGGAAACUAGGGGACUGGAAUCUGGCAGGAGGGGGUGGAAUGCCGCGUGUAGCAGUGAAAUGCGUAGAGAUGCGGCGGAACACCGAUGGCGAAGGCAGCCCCCGGGCUGAGAUUGACGCUCAGGCACGAAAGCGUGGGGAGCAAACAGG
rnacentral:rRNA from 1 species